rnacentral:rRNA from 1 species
UCCGCCAGGGUACUACGAGCAUAGCUUGAAACCCAAAGGACUUGGCGGUAUCUCAGACCCACCUAGAGGAGCCUGUUCUAUAACCGAUAACCCCCGUUAAACCUCACCACUUCUUGUCCACUCCCGCCUAUAUACCGCCGUCGUCAGUUUACCCUGUAAAGGACUAAUAGUAAACAAAAUGGGCUCACCCAAAAACGUCAGGUCGAGGUGUAGCGAAUGAAGUGGGAAGAAAUGGGCUACAUUUUCUACAUCAGAAUAAUACGAACGGCACCCUGAAAUAUAGUGCCCAAAGGUGGAUUUAGUAGUAAAAAGUAAA